rnacentral:snRNA from 11 species
GUGCUCGCCUCAGAAGCACAUAUACUAAAAUUGGAACGAUACGGAGAAGUUUAGCAUG